UCCUUGAAUUUAGAGGAGAGUAAACCUCGCAGGUUUUUAAAACCUGCGAGGUUUGAUCAGACCAAGGACCACAA
rnacentral:sRNA from 1 species